rnacentral:rRNA from 1 species
AUGAAUUGGAGGGAAAUCCUCAAGAACAAGAAGAAGACAAAGGGAAAAACACAAGAGGAACACUCAAGAACAAGUCCAAUCACACAUCCACUAGACCAACAAACACACAAGAUCCACAAGGUACAUGAUCAAUCAAAUGGAAACAAGAUACAUGGUAGAGUUCAUCCCAAAUCCUAUGAAGGAGAUGAGGGCUUGAUGAUUCACUUGGGGAAUCCUUCUACCUUAGGAGGUCUUGAUGAUCCUAGGGAUCCUUCUCCCUUAGGAGGCCUUCUACUCCAAUGGAGUCUUCUCUCUCUCAAGAGGAAUCCCACAAGGGGGGAUACAUGA